GACGGAGGAUGCAAGUGUUAUCCGGAAUCACUGGGCGUAAAGCGUCUGUAGGUGGUUUAAAAAGUCUAUUGUUAAAAAUUGAAGCUUAACUUCAAAGAUGCAAUGGAAACUUUUAAACUUGAGUAUGGUAGGGGUAGAGGGAAUUUCCAGUGGAGCGGUGAAAUGCGCAGAUAUCAGGAGGAACACCAGUGGCGAAGGCGGCUCACUGGACUGGUAUUGACGCUGGAGGUGCGAAAGCGUGGGGAGCAAACAGG
rnacentral:rRNA from 1 species